GACGAACGCUGGCGGCGUGCCUAACACAUGCAAGUCGAACGGGGCACCUUCGGGUGCUUAGUGGCGAACGGGUGAGUAACGCGUGAGAAACCUGCCUUUCAGUGGGGGACAACAGUUGGAAACGACUGCUAAUACCGCAUAAUGUUAUUUGAGGGCAUCCUCGAAUAACCAAAGCUUAAUGUGCUGAAAGAUGGUCCCGCGUCUGAUUAGCCAGUUGGCGGGGUAACGGCCCACCAAAGCGACGAUCAGUAGCCGGCCUGGGAGGGCGGACGGCCACAUUGGGACUGAGACACGGCCCAG
rnacentral:rRNA from 1 species